CACCCCUCCAUUAUAAUCUGAUGGCCUUUGGGAAGGUCCUGUGAAAUGUUUGCUCAGCCUUGGAAAUGCAGAAGAGUGUGACUAAUUUGAAAACACAUCUCUCGUCAGCAUACGGAUUACCUGCUCUAAGACGUUAACCAAAGUUUUGAAGUCAGCUCAUUCUCUCUUCUAGUUUCCUAUGCUUUGUGCUGGUAGCGGUGUUGGGAAGGAGGCCUGGAUCCUGCUUUAACCAGUUUUCAUCCAUCCCUGCUCAUUCAGUCUUUGCAGUCUACCACUGGUUUGCAUGAAGGGUGACUGGCCUUGAGAGGACGAUAAAGGAGCCCAGCAGUUUUGAGCACCCUACAACACAAAGCCACUGAGGCUUGGAGUUGUUACUGGGAACAGACUGGACCACGUUGUGUGUCUUCGUACGUGCUGUUCUUGUACUAUUCACCCUGCCUUUCUUCACAUGGUCAACUUCUGUGAAGAUCAGAGCCCCGCCUGCCCCUUUAAACAGCAUGGAAAGUUGCUAAAUGGUACUUCCAUUGUUUGUGAACAGGCAUUCAUUGAUUAUUUAACCAAUUCCAUUGUUCUCCCAUGUAAUUUCCUCAUCUCAGUUCUUGAACACAGUAGGCAGAGCGUGAACAAACACACAGAUCCAUUAUCUGAUAAAUAAAAUGUUACAGGAGUCUAUUAAAUUACCUG
rnacentral:lncRNA from 1 species